rnacentral:lncRNA from 1 species
GGGGAUUUUAAAGGAGUGAUUACAUAUAUAUAGCAGCUUAUCAACUCAAAUAUAUGUAUCUCUUAUUCAAAACUGUGACAUUGCAGAACUGCAUUGCAAGACGAUCAUGUCCUUGCGUCUCAACUUCGAAAGAGAACCCAACCAGGUUUCACUCUUCCCAUUGAAAAUGUUUUAAUUUUGAUUAGAUUACACUUAUUCUCUAGCUAAGGCUUUUCAAAAUGAUGCUCACUUCAAUUUCCAUAUAUCAUGCUCUAUUAUAACCCAUAGUGUCAUAUUAUAUUUAGAGACUUUAGUUUUUUUGUUGUUACAUUUAGAGACUUUAGUUGACAAAACAAAACAAAAAAAAUAUUUUAAUUUAUUUUAUCUCUAAUUAUAAAAUGAAUUAUAUCAAGGGCUUUGUAUCGUUUAUGAUUGCAUGACGAGACUUCCUUACAGGUACAUUCCACAGGAAGUUCUUGUGUGAAGGCGGUGAUACUAAACAGACCUCAGAAGCUGAAUGCCCUUAAUCAUGAAAUGGUGAGUUAAAAAAAUUGAUUCCCUAAAACACUCUAAGCUUAUAGAGUUUACUAGUAAUUUACAAGGUCGUAAAAGUUAUAACCAUUAAUUAAUGGAGUUAUCUCUGUUGAGGGCUCAAGUGUUUUACUUAUCAAAAGAAUAUCACUCAACAUUUGCAUUCUGCAUAUAUCUGUUGAAGUUUUUUUUUUUUUUUGAAAUGACAUAGAUCUGUUGAAGUUAACAAUGAAUUAAUGUAAAAAAAAUACUAGUAAAAUAAAAACAAUACAAUUAAUUUUUAAGCUUCUUUUGAUGUUUUGCAGAUUUGUCAAAUCAAAAAGAAGUUAGAGCUAUAUGAGAAUGACUCUCCAGUCAAACUUGGAAUAUUGGAGGUAAAAGCUCCACGGAAUAUUUCUAAAUAAUAUUGUGGAUUGAAAGGAAUGGAUGUAGGGGUGCACAUGGACCGAGUCAACUCAAUAAAUUCAUUCAAUCCAUCUAAUUUGUUUGUAAUUACUUGUCAUAUUUAAAAACUUGAAGUAUUUGUUUAGUUAUGUGUUGUUGUAUAGAUGUGUGUAGACAGUAGUUAUGAACUUAUGAUGUAAUCGCAUGUUAGAGACUUUAAGUACUUGUUUUUUAAAAAUAUAUGAGAUAUAGUGAGACCCAAACAAAAGUAAAAUAAGCAACCGUGGUUGGAGUGAAUUCUGAUUGAGUUAUUUAAAUCCUAUGUGGCAGUUUGGACCCAUUAAAAUAGUCUUUAAGCAACCCAACUAACAACCUUGCAUUGGAGCUAACUCCGAAAAGUGUGGUUCCAAUGCCUCGCCUCUACAUGUUUCUUUCAAUUUUUCAAUUUAUUGCUUAAAUUAUUAGGACUUGUCCAAAAAAAAAUACUUUUACUAAUUGCCAAUUGGAAUUUGGAAAUUGGAAUUACAAGAAACACUGACACGUGUAUUAUUUUAUAAGUAAUUGUUAACGGAGUUAACCCGGCCCAUUCUAAUCAGAUUUUCAACAUUAGCACAAGAGCAGAUAGGAUGGAGACAAGUCUCAACAAGCAGGGCAGCAGAGAUUACUUGCUCUGAUAACAACUGAAACUUUUCCUAUUCGUGUAGCCAGGAGGAAUACUUGCCCCAUUAGCAUGCCAUAUCGCGAGGUGGGGUCAAAGCCGGGUCGAAGAUCCCUGACUGCUAAAUAUGCUAGAGAAAGCAAUUAGCCCAACAAUCCUUGUGACUGACCCACGACUACAAAGCCAGCAGACCAAACAUCUUUGCCUCCGAAACCAGGAGUUCCAGAAGGGUUUGCCUUUCUAGUUGAAUAGAAUAAUUCUGGUACUUCCNNNNN